GUGUUUAGUUCUAUUCACCACUCUAACUGAAUACAAAGCAGGUGUUUCUCUGUGUGCCUGAAAGAGCUUGGAAUUUCACAGAGAACUGGCUAUAUACACACAGUAGUCUGACAGAGCUACCCCCCACACCCCCAACUGCUCCUGUCCACUACAGUAGUUUCCGUUGGAUCUGCAUAUCAACAGGCACCAAGGAAAUUCUUGCCAAGGAUUUCAUUGGCAUGGCAACCACAACAAUGGAAGGCCAGGAGGCCCAACCACUCAGUAAAGUCACAGAGGUUUUGGAGGGCUAGAGCUUUAGGAAAAGGGGGGAGUGGAACAAAAAAAAUACAAAGACAAGCAUCCAGACCCCCAUCUUCCUGCCCACCAAUGAGGAUUUUGUGCACCUCAAGUUGGGAUCAAUGCAUCUAUUAACUGUAUACAGAAGGGCGCCCUCUAAUGUUUAAAGAAAUGUUUUAUGGAAAAUUAGGUAAUGACAAAAUAUUUCUGUACACUGAAGUACAAAAUAGUAGGAUUAAGACCUGGGUAUUGUAGUUAAGAUAAGCAAUUUUACAACAUGGACAAAUUGCAAUGAAAAUUUAGGUCAUGCUUUUUCUAUUGGGUGCUGGUCUUUACCAUUACCAGCUUUACACACACUCACCUGAUGUAGCCAACCUGGGGCCGGUGACUGAGCUGCCAGCGAUAGGAGGUUUUGUCUUUCCAGCCGACGUUGCGUGGGUCUUUCCACAAUAACUUCGCCUCACCUUCUGUGUCUCCAGUGUGCCAUAAAGCAUUACGGAGAUAUUCGCCAGGCCCUGUAUUGGACUUUACUGCCUAUAGAGG